GGUGGCCGCAGGCCGUGUGCAGAGACGCCCCGCACCCUGACCUGGACCUCGAGCAGGGGCAGUGCUGCAGCCCCUCCCCACUAAUGAGAUCCCGAUAAAACAGCCCCGCCCACCGCCUAUGUGAAGAGCAUUUGCUCUGAGCUCGCCCGGCUCCGAUCUCUGAUGAAAGGAUAAAGAUCAAAGACCUUUGCUUCUGAACCAAACCCCGUCUCAUUCUAUUGUCGCAAAUGACAGUGGGCAGGAGGACCCUAGCUGGGACCCGACUGGAAAGGAGCCCACAGCAACUGUCUCCCCUGAGGACAGUGCAGUAAUGGAACGCUUAGGAAGGGGACCCCAUCAUAUGCCAAGUGGGGUAGAGCCACCGCUAGAGGCACUGCACGGAGGAUGCACCAGCAUCGAACUCACCAUCAAGGAUGCCAAGAGCAAGUGGAUGUGACACUCAUUUUCUAUUGCCACAAUGACGGGAAGGAGAGCUGAAAACAGGAGUGCCGGCAGGAGAGCUGCAGGGCAGGACGCAAUGUCAAGUGACCGGAGUCUCGUUAUUAGGAAAUGUGAAACGGUUACUGAAACUGGAGCAGCAAAUCCUGCCAGUCAUCCAACAGCAAGAAUUGUCCCCUAAGAGAGCUGAUUUACACAGCAGGACAUCAAAUAGAUGAUAAAGACACAGAACACUGAACGGCGUGUCCAGACAUGGUGUGAAGGGCCAGGAAGAGGGGUGUCAUUACAGAUCAGCUGGUUGGAUCACCUACCAGUUAGGGCAGGUUUGUGAGUAUGAGCCUCAGGCACACUGGAUCUGUUCUCUGUUCCACGGCUCCCAACUACAUCCCCGGCAUCUACUUACGCACUCAAUCAAGAUCAGAACGACUAUAUACCUUAUUGUGGGUGGAUCAGUCCUUGCAUAUCACCAGACUUGAGAAGCAGUUGCCUAAUCAUCGAUCAU